rnacentral:rRNA from 1 species
CCUACGGGAGGCAGCAGUGGGGAAUAUUGGGCAAUGGGCGCAAGCCUGACCCAGCAACGCCGCGUGAAGGAAGAAGUCUUUCGGUUUGUAAACUUCUUUUCUGAGGGACGAAGAAAGUGACGGUACCUCAGGAAUAAGCCACUGCUAACUACGUGCCAGCAGCCGCGGUAAGACGUAGGCGACAGGCGUUAUCCGGAUUUAUUGGGGGUAAAGGGCGUGUAGGCGGGAAAGCAAGUCAGAUGUGAAAACUCAGGGCUCAACCCUGAGACUGCAUUUGAAACUGUUUUUCUUGAGUGCUGGAGAGGCAAUCGGAAUUCCGUGUGUAGCGGUGAAAUGCGUAGAUAUACGGAGGAACACCAGUGGCGAAGGCGGAUUGCUGGACAGUAACUGACGCUGAGGCGCGAAAGCGUGGGGAGCAAACAGGAUUAGAUACCCGAGUAGUC